rnacentral:rRNA from 1 species
CGUAGCCACCACUGCUCAGUAACACGUGGCUCUAACUGCCCUAUGGAUCGGGAUAACCUCGGGAAACUGAGGCUAAUCCCGAAUAGUACAUCCAGCCUGGAACUGGCGGAUGUGUGAAACGCUCCGGCGCCAUAGGAUGUGGCUGCGGCCGAUUAGGUAGACGGUGGGGUAACGGCCCACCGUGCCGAUAAUCGGUACGGGUCAUGAGAGUGAGAGCCCGGAGACGGACUCUGAGACACGAGUCCGGGCCCUACGGGGCGCAGCAGGCGCGAAACCUUUACACUGCACGACAGUGCGAUAGGGGGACACCGAGUGCGAGGGCAUAGAGCCCUCGCUUUUGUAGACCGUAAGGAGGUCCACGAAUAAGGGCUGGGCAAGACCGGUGCCAGCCGCCGCGGUAACACCGGCAGCCCGAGUGAUGGCCGAUAUUAUUGGGCCUAAAGCGUCCGUAGCUGGCCGCACAAGUCCGUCGGGAAAUCCACUCGCUUAACGAGUGGGCGUCCGGCGGAAACUGUGCGGCUUGGGACCGGAAGAUCCGAGGGGUACGUCCGGGGUAGGAGUGAAAUCCCGUAAUCCUGGACGGACCACCGAUGGCGAAAGCACCUCGGAAGGACGGAUCCGACAGUGAGGGACGAAAGCUAGGGUCUCGAACCGGAUUAGAUACCCGGGUAGUCCUAGCCGUAAACGAUGCUCGCUAGGUGUGGCGCAGGCUACGAGCCUGCGCUGUGCCGUAGGGAAGCCGUGAAGCGAGCCGCCUGGGAAGUACGUCUG